UCAGUAAGGAAGGCAGGGCUGCAGGCGUGCUGGAAAACUAUGCUGAGGGAGAAAAGUAUGCAGAGCAUGGUCUCAGGAAAUUCCUUCGCACAAGGGCCCCUGAAAUCAUGCCAUCUAUUAAUAGAUUCUUUGCCAAUCCGAAAUAAAGCAUGUGCAUCUGAGCUACCUGAAUUUUCAUGAACCUCCUCUUUCUGUUCUACUUGCUGAAUUGGUGAAGAACUUUAUAUAGCUUUGAGAUUGUCAUGCAAUUGACUGUUGUUUCACUU
rnacentral:lncRNA from 1 species